CCUACGGGAGGCAGCAGUGAGGAAUAUUGGUCAAUGGCCGAGAGGCUGAACCAGCCAAGUCGCGUGAGGGAAGACGGCCCUACGGGUUGUAAACCUCUUUUGUCGGGGAGCAAAGAGAGUCACGUGUGACUCAUUGAGAGUACCCGAAGAAAAAGCAUCGGCUAACUCCGUGCCAGCAGCCGCGGUAAUACGGAGGAUGCGAGCGUUAUCCGGAAUCAUUGGGCGUAAAGAGCGCGUAGGAGGGAUAGCAAGUCAGAUGUGAAAGCCUAUGGCUUAACCAUAGAACUGCAUUUGAUACUGUUAGUCUUGAGUAUCGGAGAGGCAGGCGGAAUUCGUGGUGUAGCGGUGAAAUGCGUAGAUAUUAGGAGGAACACCAGUGGCGAAGGCGGCCUGCUAAACGGCAACUGACGGUGAGGCGCGAAAGCGUGGGGAGCAAACAGGAUUAGAUACCCGGGUAGUC
rnacentral:rRNA from 1 species